CCACCGGCCCGGCCUGCUUCCUUCCCCUCCCGCCACAAUCCCAAAGGCACUCCUAAUGACCAUCCUGAACGCUCAACCCCAUCUCAAUGACUGCUUCCCAGGGAACCCAACCUACGGCCCCCUCAUUAGCAAAACAGAGAUAAUAGAAACCAGAGAGAAGAUGUCAGUGUCUCAUCAGCUUGAUCUGUGGACUGGCCUCCAGUCCACCCUGCAGGAACCUCUCCACAGAGACUGUUAAAUCCAAGGCCUGGGCCUCCUGCCGAAGAGGAGGUACGAUGAUGACGGGCACAACCCUGGGAGCAGGCAGACAGGUGGCAGCACCCUGACCACCAUGUCUGGACCCCCGAACCACUACCACCCAGCCCAGAGCCAACAGCAAGAAUUGAUGUACCAUUCAUAGAGACAGGAGCCCAGAGACCCAAGAAGAAAGCAAAGAUCAGCUACAGACACAUCAGCCACGGUCUCUUGCUACCCAGAGAGCCGAUCCCCUGUCCCCUUCACUCCCACCAAUAAAUCCAUGAACUUCUGGAGAAGUAUUUGAA